GAUAAGGUCAGCUAAACAAGCUUUCGGGCCCAUACCCCGAACAUGAUGGUUAAAAUCCCUCCCGUAUCA
rnacentral:tRNA from 1 species